AAUCCAAUGCAGGGGAGCCCAGCCGCAAGGUCGGGCUGAGAAAGGCAACGUGCCUGACCCUUAGAACCUGUUGGUUAGAACCAGCGUAGGGAGCAAUGAUGAGCACAGA
rnacentral:ncRNA from 2 species